rnacentral:snoRNA from 1 species
CUGGUAGAGCAUUAACCUCUGGGGUCCCCCGGGGUCUGCCGAGUGGCCUAGAGGAGCCAGCCCUCGGGUGCAGUGCUGUGGAGGCCUGGCCCACGACACGAGAGGAGCUUGCCCCCAGCUUGGGACUGUAGAGGCAUGUCUGGUAUAUUCCUUCUCUGCCUGGUUGCUGAGGAGAAAAACCAUACAGGGCACAAUU